rnacentral:rRNA from 1 species
ACGACAUCGAAAGCUUGCUUUUGAUGGGCGUCGACCGGCGCACGGGUGAGUAACGCGUAUCCAACCUGCCCACCACUUGGGGAUAACCUUGCGAAAGUAAGACUAAUACCCAAUGAUAUCUCUGGAAGACAUCUGAAAGAGAUUAAAGAUUUAUCGGUGAUGGAUGGGGAUGCGUCUGAUUAGCUUGUUGGCGGGGUAACGGCCCACCAAGGCAACGAUCAGUAGGGGUUCUGAGAGGAAGGUCCCCCACAUUGGAACUGAGACACGGUCCAAACUCCUACGGGAGGCAGCAGUGAGGAAUAUUGGUCAAUGGACGAGAGUCUGAACCAGCCAAGUAGCGUGCAGGAUGACGGCCCUAUGGGUUGUAAACUGCUUUUAUAAGGGAAUAAAGUGGGAGUCGUGACUCCUUUUGCAUGUACCUUAUGAAUAAGGACCGGCUAAUUCCGUGCCAGCAGCCGCGGUAAUACGGAAGGUCCGGGCGUUAUCCGGAUUUAUUGGGUUUAAAGGGAGCGUAGGCCGGAGAUUAAGCGUGUUGUGAAAUGUAGAUGCUCAACAUCUGCACUGCAGCGCGAACUGGUUUCCUUGAGUACGCACAAAGUGGGCGGAAUUCGUGGUGUAGCGGUGAAAUGCUUAGAUAUCACGAAGAACUCCGAUUGCGAAGGCAGCUCACUGGAGCGCAACUGACGCUGAAGCUCGAAAGUGCGGGUAUCGAACAGGAUUAGAUACCCUGGUAGUCCGCACGGUAAACGAUGGAUGCCCGCUGUUGGUCUGAAUAGGUCAGCGGCCAAGCGAAAGCAUUAAGCAUCCCACCUGGGGAGUACGCCGGCAACGGUGCAACUCAAAGGAAUUGACGG